UGGCUCAGAUUGAACGCUGGCGGCAGGCCUAACACAUGCAAGUCGAGCGGUAGCACAAGAGAGCUUGCUCUCUGGGUGACGAGCGGCGGACGGGUGAGUAAUGUCUGGGAAACUGCCUGAUGGCGGGGGAUAACUAGUGGAAACGGUAGCUAAUACCGCAUAACGUCGCAAGACCAAAGUGGGGGACCUUCGGGCCUCACGCCAUCAGAUGUGCCCAGGUGGGAUUAGCUGGUAGGUGGGGUAACGGCUCACCUAGGCGACGAUCCCUAGCUGGUCUGAGAGGAUGACCAGCCACACUGGAACUGAGACACGGUCCAGACUCCUACGGGAGGCAGCAGUGGGGAAUAUUGCACAAUGGGCGCAAGCCUGAUGCAGCCAUGCCGCGUGUGUGAAGAAGGCCUUCGGGUUGUAAAGCACUUUCAGCGAGGAGGAAGGGUAAUGUGUUA
rnacentral:rRNA from 1 species